rnacentral:rRNA from 1 species
GAUGAACGCUGGCGGUGUGCCUAAUACAUGCAAGUCGAGCGAACAGACGAGGAGCUUGCUCCUCUGACGUUAGCGGCGGACGGGUGAGUAACACGUGGAUAACCUACCUAUAAGACUGGGAUAACUUCGGGAAACCGGAGCUAAUACCGGAUAAUAUUUUGAACCGCAUGGUUCAAUAGUGAAAGACGGUCUUGCUGUCACUUAUAGAUGGAUCCGCGCCGCAUUAGCUAGUUGGUAAGGUAACGGCUUACCAAGGCAACGAUGCGUAGCCGACCUGAGAGGGUGAUCGGCCACACUGGAACUGAGACACGGUCCAGACUCCUACGGGAGGCAGCAGUAGGGAAUCUUCCGCAAUGGGCGAAAGCCUGACGGAGCAACGCCGCGUGAGUGAUGAAGGUCUUCGGAUCGUAAAACUCUGUUAUUAGGGAAGAACAAAUGUGUAAGUAACUAUGCACGUCUUGACGGUACCUAAUCAGAAAGCCACGGCUAACUACGUG